rnacentral:miRNA from 10 species
CUAAAUUUGACCUAUUUAUUAGGUUGGUGCAAAAGUAAUUGCAGUUUUUGCCAUUAAAAGUAAUGGCAAUAUAUUAAUAUUAAUAUUAUAA